rnacentral:rRNA from 1 species
UACAGAGGUCUCAAGCGUUGUUCGGAUUCAUUGGGCGUAAAGGGUGCGUAGGCGGCGCGGUAAGUCGGAUGUGAAAUCUCGGAGCUUAACUCCGAAACUGCAUUCGAUACUGCGGUGCUUGAGGACUGGAGAGGAGACUGGAAUUCAUGGUGUAGCAGUGAAAUGCGUAGAUAUCGGAAGGAACACCAGUGGCGAAAGCGGCUUCCUGGUCCAGCACCGACGUUCAGGCACGAAAGCGUGGGGAGCAAACAGG